rnacentral:rRNA from 1 species
AAGUCGUAACAAGGUUUCCGUAGGUAUGUAUUUAUCGAAACCCCCCCCCCCAAAAACCACGACAGUUAACUAACAUGUUUAAUAGGUGAACCUGCGGAAGGAUCAUUACUGAGUUAGGGUCUCCAAGGCCCGAACCUCCCAACCCUUGUGUUUAACUAUACCACGUUGCUUCGGCGGGCCCGCUCCUCCGGGAGCCGCCGGGCCUCUUAACUGAGGUCUGGUCCGCGCUCGUCGAUAGCCCCUUUACCAAACUCUUGAAUAAACCGUGUCGUCUGAGUUCAAAAUAUUUAAUUAUAAAUAAAACUUUCAACAACGGAUCUCUUGGUUCUGGCAUCGAUGAAGAACGCAGCGAAAUGCGAUAAGUAAUGCGAAUUGCAGAAUUUCAGUGAGUCAUCGAAUCUUUGAACGCACAUUGCGCCCCUUGGUAUUCCGGGGGGCAUGCCUGUUCGAGCGUCAUUAUCAACCCUCAAGCCCGGCUUGGUGUUGGACGGUCGGCCGCCUCGCGGUGGCCCCUCCCAAAGACAAUGACGGCGUCUGUUGGACCCUCGGUGCAAUGAGCUUCCGGGCACGCACUCGAGUCAAAGGACCUUCAGGCCCGGUCACCUAUAAAUUUAUUUUACCAGGUUGACCUCGGAUCAGGUAGGAAUACCCGCUGAACUUAA